rnacentral:rRNA from 1 species
GACGAACGCUGGCGGCGUGCUUAACACAUGCAAGUCGAACGGAAAGGCCCUGCUUUUGUGGGGUGCUCGAGUGGCGAACGGGUGAGUAACACGUGAGUAACCUGCCCUUGACUUUGGGAUAACUUCAGGAAACUGGGGCUAAUACCGGAUAGGAGCUCCUGCUGCAUGGUGGGGGUUGGAAAGUUUCGGCGGUUGGGGAUGGACUCGCGGCUUAUCAGCUUGUUGGUGGGGUAGUGGCUUACCAAGGCUUUGACGGGUAGCCGGCCUGAGAGGGUGACCGGCCACAUUGGGACUGAGAUACGGCCCAGACUCCUACGGGAGGCAGCAGUGGGGAAUAUUGCACAAUGGGCGGAAGCCUGAUGCAGCAACGCCGCGUGCGGGAUGACGGCCUUCGGGUUGUAAACCGCUUUCGCCUGUGACGAAGCGUGAGUGACGGUAAUGGGUAAAGAAGCACCGGCUAACUACGUGCCAGCAGCCGCGGUGAUACGUAGGGUGCGAGCGUUGUCCGGAUUUAUUGGGCGUAAAGGGCUCGUAGGUGGUUGAUCGCGUCGGAAGUGUAAUCUUGGGGCUUAACCCUGAGCGUGCUUUCGAUACGGGUUGACUUGAGGAAGGUAGGGGAGAAUGGAAUUCCUGGUGGAGCGGUGGAAUGCGCAGAUAUCAGGAGGAACACCAGUGGCGAAGGCGGUUCUCUGGGCCUUUCCUGACGCUGAGGAGCGAAAGCGUGGGGAGCGAACAGGCUUAGAUACCCUGGUAGUCCACGCUGUAAACGGUGGGUACUAGGUGUGGGGUCCAUUCCACGGGUUCCGUGCCGUAGCUAACGCUUUAAGUACCCCGCCUGGGGAGUACGGCCGCAAGGCUAAAACUCAAAGGAAUUGACGGGGCCCCGCACAAGCGGCGGAGCAUGCGGAUUAAUUCGAUGCAACGCGUAGAACCUUACCUGGGUUUGACAUGGAUCGGGAGUGCUCAGAGAUGGGUGUGCCUCUUUUGGGGUCGGUUCACAGGUGGUGCAUGGCUGUCGUCAGCUCGUGUCGUGAGAUGUUGGGUUAAGUCCCGCAACGAGCGCAACCCUUGUUCACUGUUGCCAGCACGUUAUGGUGGGGACUCAGUGGAGACCGCCGGGGUCAACUCGGAGGAAGGUGGGGAUGACGUCAAGUCAUCAUGCCCCUUAUGUCCAGGGCUUCACGCAUGCUACAAUGGCUGGUACAGAGAGUGGCGAGCCUGUGAGGGUGAGCGAAUCUCGGAAAGCCGGUCUCAGUUCGGAUUGGGGUCUGCAACUCGACCUCAUGAAGUCGGAGUCGCUAGUAAUCGCAGAUCAGCAACGCUGCGGUGAAUACGUUCCCGGGGCUUGUACACACCGCCCGUCAAGUCAUGAAAGUUGGUAACACCCGAAGCCGGUGGCCUAACCGUUGUGGGGGAGCCGUCGAAGGUGGGACUGGUGA